GGGCUCGUAGUUUAAUGGUAAAACUCCUGGCUGGCAGUCAGGUGACAGGGGUUCGAUUCCCCUCGGGUCCACCA
rnacentral:tRNA from 1 species